GCGGCCUAUCAGCUUGUUGGGGGGGUAAUGGCCCACCAAGGCGACGACGGGUAGCUGGUCUGAGAGGAUGGCCAGCCACAUUGGGACUGAGAGACGGCCCAGACUCCUACGGGAGGCAGCAGUGGGGAAUCUUGCGCAAUGGCCUAACGGCUGACGCAGCGACGCCGCGUGUGGGAUGAAGCUCUUCGGAGUGUAAACCACUGUUGCCCGGGACGAAUGGCUCGAUUAAUCGAGUCUGACAGUACCGGGUGAGGAAGCACCGGCUAACUCCGUGCCAGCAGCCGCGGUAAUACGGGGGGUGCGAGCGUUGUCCGGAAUCACUGGGCGUAAAGGGCGCGUAGGUGGUUUGAUAAGGGUGUGGUGAAAGUCCGGGACUCAACCCCGGAUCUGCCGUGCCGACUGUCAAACUCGAGGACUGUAGAGGCAGACGGAAUUCCGGGUGUAGCGGUGGAAUGCGUAGAGAUCCGGAGGAAGACCGGUGGCGAAGGCGGAACUCUGGGCCGGAACUGACGCUGAGGAGCGAAAGCGUGGGGAGCGAACAGGAUUAGAUACCCUGGUAGUCCACGCCGUAAACGUUGGGCACUAGGUGUGGGACUCUAUCGACGGGUUCCGUGCCGUAGCUAACGCAUUAAGUGCCCCGCCUGGGGAGUACGG
rnacentral:rRNA from 1 species